rnacentral:tRNA from 1 species
GGGGACUUAGCUCAGUGGUAGAGCGCUUGCCUAGCGAGCACAAGGCCCUGGGUUCGGUCCCCAGCUCCG